CCUAUCAUGGUGCUAUCUGAACAUAAUUUCAUUGCGUCUUUUGCCUUGUUUACCCCCACAAAAAUAGGUAUUCCACAAUAAAGGCUACAAUGUUAGCAAACACAUAGGGGUCCAAUAUUUCUGAGUAAAGUUACACUUAAAGACUUUGUAGAUGGCAGAUCCUAUUAUUUAAAAAAACAAAACAAAACCCCCAAAAAACGUAUAUGGAGCAUAUUUAAUAGUGCAUAGCCAAGGUAUUGAAUUGGCAGCAAAAGUUUGGUAGAACCAGAAGGAUGCUGCCAGAGGGGUGAAGUUGGCAAAACAAUGUGGAGGCAUGCACAGCAGUCUGGCACCAAGACAGGUAUUACAGUAAAGGGUUUGCUUUCUGUUGUUGGUCUGCCUCUUUGCUCUUGGCUUUGUAUUUUUUCCAGACUUGUGAGUACCUUGUUUACACGGUUGAUUAUUUUCACUAGAAUGAGGUAUGUAUUGGAUCAAGUUGGUCCUAUUUUCUAAGGUGCAGAAUUAAUUCCUUCCCGAGGUGGAAAAAAGCAGUGGGCGGCACCUCUCUUGGCUUUUACUUGGGAUCUCACACAGUGGUGGGAGGGUCUGAUACUGGAAGGAAUGACAGCUUGCAACUGGUAUUCUGGUGAGCUGGCUUCAAUACCUAACUGCCAUGCAGCUCCAAACUUGUCAUAUUGCUUUUCCUCUUAAUAUAAAAGCAAUAUUUCCCUGCUUCAUAGGUAUAUUGUGUGGGCAUGUAGUGACCAUAUAUGUGCUUAGAUAAUAUUCUUAAUGGUUUAACAUUUUUUUUUAAUCUUCUUAGAGGUGUGUAGUGCUUAGCAUUUAGCUUUAUUUAAAACGACUAUUGUGUCUUUCUGAAACUCAGUUUUAACUGAGAUUCUAAGGAUAUCAUUACUACAGAAAAGCUAUAAUCAUUGCUAACAAUGCAUUUGUUUAGCACAGCUGCAAGAGAUUGUCACUUCAUCUUUGUUGCCCCAGUGUAUCUCCAUUUACACUAUUUAUGUAUAGCUCCUGGCAGUCGUUACACUUAGGACACAAUUAGUCUGAUAUCUUAAAUAGUAAUCUGGCCAGGUAUUUAGGGAAUUAAGGAUAGCACAGAAAUAAUAUAUAAAAUGUGUAAUAUUUCUGUGCCUGGUUUCAGAUGAGUCUUAAAUUGAAUGUGUGGCAAGGUUAGGAUUACACCAAGGUGUCCCACAACCCUGGUGCGGUCCCCAUCAGCCAACAAUCAGCUGAUUUGUUUUUUUUUGUUUUCUUUGGCUGGGUCUGGGACCAGUCUUGGUGUGGUCCCCCUGUGUAUGGCAUGGCAGAAGGUUGGGAUUGGAUAUCAGUGGUUGGGAUUGGAUAUCAGAUCCCAUUGCACCUUUAAGUGGAUGUCUGUUAGCAGCCAAAGAAAUGUAGUAUAGAAAGUCAUUUGAAGGCCAAGCCUAUUUGAACUUGUAUUUCAUUGCUUCGUUGGCAAUUACUUAGGUUUUAUGUGAAACUUUCUUAAGGUUAUCGGAAUCUUUCUUUGAGGUGGUGAUAAAGCAAACAUUGAUAAUACAUGUUAUUGUUGGGUUUGCUGUGCAAUAGCACUAACAGAGCUUUUGUUCUUGCAGAAGAGUUAUUAAUAACUUGUGAGUCAUGGAAGGACUGCCUUCGAACUGAGGGAAGGUGGCAGAACACAAUUUUUGUUGCAGAAUCUAUUCAUGAUUCAAGUGCCCUGUAUGUUCAAAGUUUGUAUCAUCAGAUGAAAUGGAUUUGCAUCUUGUGAUGUGUUUGACGAAGCCAAGGAUAACCUACAAUGAGGAUGUGUUGAGUAAAGAUGCUGGGGAGUGUGCAAUAUGCCUGG